rnacentral:rRNA from 1 species
GGAAUAUUGGGCAAUGGAGGAAACUCUGACCCAGCGACGCCGCGUGCGGGAUGAAGGCCUUCGGGUUGUAAACCGCUUUCAGUAGGGAAGAAGCGAAAGUGACGGUACCUACAAAAGAAGCACCGGCUAACUAUGUGCCAGCAGCCGCGGUAAUACAUAGGGUGCAAGCGUUGUCCGGAAUUAUUGGGCGUAAAGAGCUCGUAGGUCGUUUGUUACGUCGGAUGUGAAAACCUGAGGCUCAACCUCAGGCCUGCAUUCGAUACGGGCAAACUAGAGUUUGAUAGGGGAGACUGGAAUUCCUGGUGUAGCGGUGGAAUGCGCAGAUAUCAGGAGGAACACCAAUGGCGAAGGCAGGUCUCUGGGCCAAUACUGACACUGAGGAGCGAAAGUCUGGGGAGCGAACAGGAUUAGAUACCCUGGUAGUCCAGACCGUAAACGGUGGGCACUAGGUGUGGGUUCCAACUAACGGGAUCCGCGCCGUCGCUAACGCAUUAAGUGCCCCGCCUGGGGAGUACGGCCGCAAGGCUAAAACUCAAAGGAAUUGACGG